AGGCCAGCAGCUGCAGUUCCAAUUCAACCCCUAGUCUGGAAACUUCCAUAUGCCUUGGGUGUGGCCCUAAAAAGACACACAAAGUCUUUGCAAUGGAAGGCAGGCUUGGGGUGGGUCAUCUUGAGAGCAUGUGGUGCCAGUGGGCCAGGGAGAGAUACAAGAGAUGGGGUUUAUGUGCGUCUCAAAGGCAGAGCUGCUGUCGGAGUCCGAGUUAGCCAGCUGAACCAGAAGGCAGGGCCCUGGCCUGGCCUCCCUGCAGGCUGGAUGGGGUUAGAAUUCAGGGGUUCCCACAGGGCAGUGCACACAGGCAGAGAGUAGUGAAGUGGAUAUCCAGAGGUCAAGGUCUCAGUCAAAGAGGCUGAGAUGACAGGUACCUGCCUGGUUUCAAAAUUUAGUCUGAGCAUCUAGACACAGGACUUGCAUGGCAAGGCCAAGAAAUGAGUUCAGAAUCGGGGAAUCUCCAUAAGUGGUCCACACAACCCGCCCCCCCAGACACUGGGAGAGACUCAGCUCAGGCCUCCAGCCCCAGAGCACUGGCCUUCAGGGAGUGGAGGGCCCCAUAGGGGCAUCCCACCAGCUCUCGAAUGCCCACAUUCAUUCACUAUCAUCCUACGAAAUGAGAGGUAGAUGUAAACUAACAAGAGGUUCGAGGUGAAAGUCGUUUGAUGUCUCAACCACAGCAGGAGUUAUUGACCCCUUAAUCAACUCUGUCGAUCACCAGAGCCCUCUUCAAAUCCAGGAACCUCUCACUGUGGCUGCAGGUGACCCCUUCUGCAUGGCCCAAGCCUCCCUCCUUUUAUCUUCUGCUAAAUCUUUGGCCUGUGCCUGUAGGACAAGGUAAACCACAUCCUUGGCUGUCUGUCUAGUUUCAGCCAGUACGUGUUGUGGGUGAAUGCUGAUUACACAUCCGAGCCUUGUAGAAAAUGUUAAUGGUGUGUUGCGAAGGAGUGUGGAAAACGCCAUUGGAGAGAUGAAUUAAGCUCGGGAAAAUGUGUCUUAGUGGGAAGAGGGCUAAAUUCCAACCUUUGCUCUGCUCUUAACUGGACCAUCACCUGGACUGGUCUCAGGGUCCCUGUUAAUAGUGUCAUGCUUGCGUUCCUUAUGGGACUGUCACAGUGAUCAGGUGAGAUAAUACAGGUAGAAGGAUUUGGGAAACCAAAAGUGGCGAAUUCUUUCAUUCAAAAAAAAUUGCCAGUAAAUUCACCAAUAGCAGCACCUCGGUCAAUACCUAAAUGGAGACCCAGAAUGUCCCCUCUACUCCCCUUAUCAGUCCAGAUCAAAAAGACGCAAGAGGAGACACCUAAGAAAGCUCUGAGAUAAUAAAGUUGUGUUUCUCAAACUUGAGCGUGUGUCAGAGUCACCAGGAGGGUGUCUCAAAGCCCAGCUUGUGGGCCCCACUCUAAAGUUUCUGCCCCAGUGGGUUUGGGCGGGGCCUCCCUGGAGAGUUUGCAUGUCUCUCUGGGUCCAGGUGCCGUGCAUCUGGUGGGCUGAGAGGACUGAGCACAUGGUGGCAGUUGUUAUGAAUCCUUGACCCAUGAAAGAAAAGUGUGAUUUUGUAGCUCCUCCCAUCGGGGAAUUAAAUUGACUUUCUAAGCCCUGGAAUAAGGCCGGCCUUGGGGCUUGCUCGGACCACCAAAAGAGCAACAAGGAUGGUGUGCUGAUCCCAAGCCAAGGCCUCGAGAGUCCUUGAACACAAGAGGCCCUGAGGACUUCUGCCUGCCUUCUUAGAACCCUGCUGUAGUCCACCGUCAUGAGCAAAACCCGAGUCAGCCUACCAGACCCUCAGACACCACGUGGAGGGGGACCGAGAGCGCACCGUUCAUGGGCUGGUCAGCAUCCGGCGAUGUCGUCUGAAAUCAUGGACAGAUGGCAACUAUAAAACCGCAAAUAUCCGAGCCAGAGUUUCCUUAUGUUGAAGCUUCACACCCAAAGAGAUAAACUUGGGACUAUGUCUAAUCACCUGGAUUCUUCACUCGCCUGACAAGGUGGACAAAAGGAAAGAAACACCAGGAAGAGGCAGAGAGAGAUGGCAGGUCCACCUUCAACAAAUUUCCUACGGUUUAACCAGUUCUGGUUGCCUGUGACUUGUACUGGGAGUUUCCUGAAAGAGGCACCAAUGCAGAUCGGAUGCUAGAAACUUUCCUGCAUGAUCUCCAGCUACUGAGAGCAGGAACACGUAAGGAAACCAUGAUCAUUCCGUCUUCACAGGAUGGCAGCUGUGCAGCAGAGUUCUGCAGAGUCCUGUGCAUUGUGAAAACGUAUACUGAAGACACCUCAUUAGCAAAUGUAGUUCAUCAAUACAGUGCGGG